AGUGGGGAAUUGUUCGCAAUGGGCGCAAGCCUGACGACGCAACGCCGCGUGGAGGAUGAAGGUCUUCGGAUUGUAAACUCCUGUUGACCGGGACGAAUGGGCUCCGACUGAACACGUCGGAGCAGUGACGGUACCGGUUGAGGAAGCCACGGCUAACUCUGUGCCAGCAGCCGCGGUAAUACAGAGGUGGCAAGCGUUGUUCGGAAUUACUGGGCGUAAAGGGCGCGUAGGCGGCCUUCUUAGUCAGACGUGAAAUCCCCGGGCUUAACUCGGGAACUGCGUCUGAUACUGGAAGGCUGGAGUUUGGGAGAGGGAUGUGGAAUUCCAGGUGUAGCGGUGAAAUGCGUAGAUAUCUGGAGGAACACCGGUGGCGAAGGCGGCAUCCUGGACCAACACUGACGCUGAGGCGCGAAAGCUAGGGGAGCAAA
rnacentral:rRNA from 1 species